rnacentral:rRNA from 1 species
ACUCAAAGGAAUAGACGGGGACCCGCACAAGCAGCGGAGCAUGUGGUUUAAUUCGAAGCAACGCGAAGAACCUUACCAGGGCUUGACAUCCCCCUGACGGGUAUAGAGAUAUACCGUUCCUUCGGGACAGGGGAGACAGGUGGUGCAUGGUUGUCGUCAGCUCGUGUCGUGAGAUGUUGGGUUAAGUCCCGCAACGAGCGCAACCCCUAUUUUUAGUUGCCAUCAAGUUAAGUUGGGCACUCUAAAGAGACUGCCGGGGAUAACUCGGAGGAAGGUGGGGACGACGUCAAAUCAUCAUGCCCCUUAUGUCCUGGGCGACACACGUGCUACAAUGGCCGGAAACAAAGGGAAGCGAAGCCGUGAGGUGGAGCGAAUCCCAUAAACCCGGUCCCAGUUCGGAUUGUGGGCUGCAACUCGCCCACAUGAAGUCGGAGUUGCUAGUAAUCGCGAAUCAGCACGUCGCGGUGAAUGCGUUCCCGGGUCUUGUACACACCGCCCGU